GAUGAGGGGUGUUUGCACCCCGAUUCAGCGGUGGACGGGUGAGUAAUGCCUAGGAAUUUGUCCGAUAGUGGGGGAUAACGGUUCGAAAGGAACGCUAAUACCGCAUAUGUUUUAUGGGAGAAAGUGGGGGCUUUUUGGACCUCACGCUAUCGGAUGAGCCUAGGUCGGAUUAGCUAGUUGGUGGGGUAAAGGCCCACCAAGGUGAUGAUCCGUAAUUGGUCUGAGAGGAUGAUCAGUCACACUGGAAUUGAGAUAUGGUCCAGACUCCUAUGGGAGGCAGUAGUGGGGAAUAUUGGACAAUGGGCGAAAGCCUGAUCCAGCCAUGCCGCGUGUGUGAAGAAGGUCUUCGGAUUGUAAAGCACUUUAAGUCGGGAGGAAGGGCUGUAGGUUAAUAUCCUGCGGUUUUGACGUUACCGACAGAAUAAGCACCGGUUAACUUCGUGUUAGCAGUUGUGGUAAUACGAAGGGUGCAAGCGUUAAUCGGAAUUACUGGGCGUAAAGCGCGCGUAGGUGGUUUGGUAAGUUGGAUGUGAAAGUCCCGGGUUUAACCUGGGAAUUGCAUCCAAAACUGCCUGACUAGAGUACGGUAGAGGGUGGUGGAAUUUCCUGUGUAGCGGUGAAAUGCGUAGAUAUAGGAAGGAACACCAGUGGUGAAGGUGAUUACCUGGACUGAUACUGACACUGAGGUGCGAAAGCGUGGGGAGUAAAUAGGAUUAGAUAUCCUGGUAGUCCACGCCGUAAAUGAUGUCGACUAGCCGUUGGGCUCCUUGAGAGCUUAGUGGCGCAGUUAAUGUAUUAAGUCGACCGCCUGGGGAGUACGGCCGUAAGGUUAAAACUCAAAUGAAUUGACGG
rnacentral:rRNA from 1 species